AAAGCGUAGCUAAUACCGCAUACGCCCUACGGGGGAAAGCAGGGGAUCGCAAGACCUUGCACUAUUAGAGCGGCCGAUAUCGGAUUAGCUAGUUGGUGGGGUAACGGCUCACCAAGGCGACGAUCCGUAGCUGGUUUGAGAGGACGACCAGCCACACUGGGACUGAGACACGGCCCAGACUCCUACGGGAGGCAGCAGUGGGGAAUUUUGGACAAUGGGGGAAACCCUGAUCCAGCCAUCCCGCGUGUGCGAUGAAGGCCUUCGGGUUGUAAAGCACUUUUGGCAGGAAAGAAACGUCAUGGGCUAAUACCCCKUKAWWYUGACGGUACCUGCARAAUAAGCACCGGCUAAYUACGUGCCAGCAGCCGCGGUAAUAC
rnacentral:rRNA from 1 species